rnacentral:rRNA from 1 species
GAAUGCUGACAUAAGUAACGAUAAAGCGGGUGAAAAGCCCGCUCGCCGGAAGACCAAGGGUUCCUGUCCAACGUUAAUCGGGGCAGGGUGAGUCGACCCCUAAGGCGAGGCCGAAAGGCGUAGUCGAUGGGAAACAGGUUAAUAUUCCUGUACUUGGUGUUACUGCGAAGGGGGGACGGAGAAGGCUAUGUUGGCCGGGCGACGGUUGUCCCGGUUUAAGCGUGUAGGCUGGUUUUCCAGGCAAAUCCGGAAAAUCAAGGCUGAGGCGUGAUGACGAGGCACUACGGUGCUGAAGCAACAAAUGCCCUGCUUCCAGGAAAAGCCUCUAAGCAUCAGGUAACAUCAAAUCGUACCCCAAACCGACACAGGUGGUCAGGUAGAGAAUACCAAGGCGCUUGAGAGAACUCGGGUGAAGGAACUAGGCAAAAUGGUGCCGUAACUUCGGGAGAAGGCACGCUGAUAUGUAGGUGAAGCGACUUGCUCGUGGAGCUGAAAUCAGUCGAAGAUACCAGCUGGCUGCAACUGUUUAUUAAAAACACAGCACUGUGCAAACACGAAAGUGGACGUAUACGGUGUGACGCCUGCCCGGUGCCGGAAGGUUAAUUGAUGGGGUUAGCGGUAACGCGAAGCUCUUGAUCGAAGCCCCGGUAAACGGCGGCCGUAACUAUAACGGUCCUAAGGUAGCGAAAUUCCUUGUCGGGUAAGUUCCGACCUGCACGAAUGGCGUAAUGAUGGCCAGGCUGUCUCCACCCGAGACUCAGUGAAAUUGAACUCGCUGUGAAGAUGCAGUGUACCCGCGGCAAGACGGAAAGACCCCGUGAACCUUUACUAUAGCUUGACACUGAACAUUGAGCCUUGAUGUGUAGGAUAGGUGGGAGGCUUUGAAGUGUGGACGCCAGUCUGCAUGGAGCCGACCUUGAAAUACCACCCUUUAAUGUUUGAUGUUCUAACGUUGGCCCCUGAUCGGGGUUGCGGACAGUGUCUGGUGGGUAGUUUGACUGGGGCGGUCUCCUCCUAAAGAGUAACGGAGGAGCACGAAGGUUGGCUAAUCCUGGUCGGACAUCAGGAGGUUAGUGCAAUGGCAUAAGCCAGCUUGACUGCGAGCGUGACGGCGCGAGCAGGUGCGAAAGCAGGUCAUAGUGAUCCGGUGGUUCUGAAUGGAAGGGCCAUCGCUCAACGGAUAAAAGGUACUCCGGGGAUAACAGGCUGAUACCGCCCAAGAGUUCAUAUCGACGGCGGUGUUUGGCACCUCGAUGUCGGCUCAUCACAUCCUGGGGCUGAAGUAGGUCCCAAGGGUAUGGCUGUUCGCCAUUUAAAGUGGUACGCGAGCUGGGUUUAGAACGUCGUGAGACAGUUCGGUCCCUAUCUGCCGUGGGCGCUGGAGAACUGAGGGGGGCUGCUCCUAGUACGAGAGGACCGGAGUGGACGCAUCACUGGUGUUCGGGUUGUCAUGCCAAUGGCACUGCCCGGUAGCUAAAUGCGGAAGAGAUAAGUGCUGAAAGCAUCUAAGCACGAAACUUGCCCCGAGAUGAGUUCUCCCUGACUC